rnacentral:piRNA from 1 species
UGUUUGUGUACCCACUGGAUACCCUUGA